rnacentral:lncRNA from 1 species
CCUGAUGCCAGCUUUGCUGGUAAUGUAGGCCACCGAAGCAAAUCCAGAGAGAUUGAGUUGGAAGUGGAGAGAGGCUCUGAGAUCUAUUUCCUUGGCUUCCUGACGACGGGGGUGUGUGUGCGCGUACGUGUAACUUCUUUUUUUCUUUUCCACUGUAAACGGGAUAUCAUUUAAGAGGGAUCAUUAGCUGAGAGCAGCCCAGCUGGGUCAAGGCUGGGAGGCGGGGAUGCAGUUGCAAGCAGCGAAGCAAGGUGGAGGCACGAAGACAGAAGACCAGGUUAAUGAAAGCAUGAGGUGGCUCUCGGGCAGCAGCUGGAGAAAAUUUGGACACGCUGACAGGGGAAACUAUGACUGGCUAAAUAGUGAACCAGGUGGGCCGCUUCUGGAAACAGAGCUUCAGAGCAGACAGCAGACAAGUUCAACCAAAGACGACAUAGAACCAUUUCUGUGCAUCAUAUUGCCUGCCACCAUGAUGCUCUUCCUGGCAUUCCUGCUGCUCUUCCUGUACCGUCGUUGCCAGCGCCCUGCUCCACAGGGACAAGUCUUCAGCAUCGACCUCCCUGAGGCCCUGCCCGAGCACGAUGUGUCCAGUUUCCUUUCUGUGCUGCCCUGGAACAGUGAGCAGAGUUUUCAGUACUCCACUCUGCUCCCCGAUGCCACGUUCCUCACUGUGUGUUUGCCUCCAUCCUACGAGGAGGCCACCAUGAAGACUUCCAUGGACGAGGCUCACAUUGAGCUCUCUCCAGAUCCAGUGCCUCCUUACGAAGAGAGCACGCUGGAAUCCAACAGCGCCAAAUGAACUUCCUAUGGAAGCACUUUAGCUGAAGCAUGCAGCCCCUCGAGGCACAAAGGUGGAACUGCUAUGGCCUUUAAUAUUAGUGACAAGAUUCCAAAUGAGGCUCCAAACCAAUGAGUUAAUGAAGGAAGAAACUUGGAGUAACAGGGGAUGAGUGUCUUCACUUUAUCCUGGGAUUCUCUACCUUCCACUUGUGGCAAGCAUACACACAGAGUGUAGCACCAAACCUGUCCCAGACUGGUAACACGGGUAUUCCAGUUAAAGCACAGGAUUAAACUCAAGGACGGGUGGGAAUCUGUCCCUCUGCAAUCCCUCAGCUACAAGGUAAUAUAAAUUAUGUUAUAGAUUUACCACUCACAAAAAGGGCUUUUAGUGCACACCUAUUCCAGUUUAGCUUUUUCUUUUUUACGUGUUUAAUUGAGUUUCUGACAAGCCAAUUCAAUCCAUCUAUGUGUGUUAACAUCACAUCAUUCUGCAAUGCUCUGGAAUGAUCACAACAGCUUUCAGGAAAGUAAAUAAACAUAUAAACUCUACUAAAUUUCCA